rnacentral:rRNA from 1 species
GACGAACGCUGGCGGCGUGCUUAACACAUGCAAGUCGAACGAAGCGCGAUGGAAGCUUGCUUCUAUCAAUCUUAGUGGCGCACGGGUGAGUAACGCGUAAUCAACCUGCCCUUCAGAGGGGGACAACAGUUGGAAACGACUGCUAAUACCGCAUACGAUCUAAUCUCGGCAUCGAGGAUAGAUGAAAGGUGGCCUCUACAUGUAAGCUAUCACUGAAGGAGGGGAUUGCGUCUGAUUAGCUAGUUGGAGGGGUAACGGCCCACCAAGGCGAUGAUCAGUAGCCGGUCUGAGAGGAUGAACGGCCACAUUGGGACUGAGACACGGCCCAGACUCCUACGGGAGGCAGCAGUGGGGAAUCUUCCGCAAUGGACGAAAGUCUGACGAAGCAACGCCGCGUGAGUGAUGACGGCCUUCGGGUUGUAAAGCUCUGUUAAUCGGGACGAAAGGCCUUCUUGCGAAUAGUGAGAAGGAUUGACGGUACCGGAAUAGAAAGCCACGGCUAACUACGUG